CUGGAUGGAUGACUAACUGUUUCAACUCUACCCACGGGUUAAUAAGGGGGCAUCUCUGUUCCUCCGCCUUUCAAAUUAGUGGCCAAACAAUUUGAAUGCUAUGCUCCAUGAGGGAGCAUGAGACUGAAGAACAACACCCGUAACUGUGCCAGCUGAACUCAGGGAAACACCAUGACAGUAUUUCAUUUCAGAGCCAAAUCUUACCAGCCGCCAAAAGCACCACCAACACUGUCUGAGAAUCACCUGACAAAAGGUUUUCCAGAAAAAGCAGGCAGACUCUGUCAAAGACGUGAGGAGCUGCACUUAGGACAGAAUAGGAAGAGUGGAGAGAAAUGGACAGUCGGAGCGAGGGAUGGAAGGACCUGUGAUUUAGGACUGAACGGACAGACAGAGGAGAGGGAGCUCUUUGAUGUGCCCAUACUGAACCCGCGGUACACUUUACAACUAAAUUUCCCACGGUCCCCGGGACGACCUCGUGGGCCUGAGGCGGCGAGCUCACACUUGGAAGUGCGUGGAUGCCAGCUCAAGUACGUCCGCACGCAGUGCAAAUCCCACCGCAACACGAUACGCGCACUGGGCUUUCGUGCCCGGAACCCUGGGGGCAGGGAGACCUCGGCGUGUCACGGGAAAGCAGCGAGAAAAUGCGAUCUGCUCGGCUGAGCUCCAGGCGUUACGCAGCCGCGGCAGCGUGCCCACGUGCGUAUAGCUGUCACUGGAGCAGACGUAGCUGGAUGUGCGGGGGCGCAUGGAAACAAGGUCGUCCACCGUGGCUUCAGCGACGGGAAGCAUGGCCCGUGUGGGGGCCGCGGCGCAGUCACUGCCGUCUCCAGGUUGACACCCCGACUUCGAAGAGUUGGACUCAGCUCUGUCGCUGGAGCGGCGGAAAGAGAGCUAGCUACCUGGGGAAAGGCGUUAUCUCAUAAUGGCAGAGAAUGAAAGAUUUUGGUGACGACCCGCAUCAGUGUUCAAGUCCUCCAGUUUGAGGCCUUGAGGGAGGUGCAAUCAAGCUGAUGAAUCUCUCCACUGAAGCUCAUCCUCGCCAUGGAAAUAUAGCCAGCAACAACAACAGCCUCUGCUCAGUGGCAUGCCCUAUCCCUUUAUCUUUUUGCAGUGUAACGCUCCAACAAAUGUUAAAAAGAACUACAGCGUCAGGAGGGGAAACGCUGUGAAUAAAGUAAGCUGCUGUCCGUGAGGCUGGCACACAUCAGAAACAGUUCUUUUGAAAGGUGAUCUUUAAAAGUGUACACUCUGCCAAGGGAUGAAAACAUAGAAAAUUGUGGUA